rnacentral:rRNA from 1 species
UUGAUAGGUCAGAUGUGUAAGCACAGUGAUGUGUUCAGCUUACUGAUACUAAUCGGUCGUGCGGCUUGACCAUA